GCCCCACCCCUCCCUCAAGAGGGCCUUGUGGACACUGUAUUUCCCAGCCUGGGGGCAGGACUUGGGGUCUGUUUUCUGAUACAGAGAUGGUGGCAGUGCAAGCAGUGUUCCCCAGCAUACAUCACCUGGAAAGGAAACACUGGCAUCCAUCCACCUGACACAACCCACGUCCCUGGCUGGUAACCGGCUCGGGUGAGCAGUUACCUCUAGAGCGUCCUUGAAUGCGCUUCUGCUCUUCUGAGGCCAAGGUCUCAGGCUCGUGGGCUACACUCUGAAAGGUUUCUGAGCUAAGGGGAGAAUGGCGGUUGGAGCCUGCAGAUUCAGGGAUAUGGGGUGGCCUGAGCCAGCCAUGGGGAUUGGACGUGAUGGAUGGCAGACCACAAGGACCCUGCGGGGCCAGCACGCUGCAAGGGGUCUCCGUGCAGGUUCAAGUUCCUGUUCAAGCGACAGUUUCUGGGCCACCUGGGCAAACCGCCUUGCCUCUCUGGGCCUCGUUCUCCCCAUCCGCACGCCUGUUACCUGAUGGGAGCCUCCUGACACGCUCUCUGAGCUCC